GCAGUCGAUACGGGCAGGCUAGAGUGUGGUAGGGGAGAUCGGAAUUCCUGGUGUAGCGGUGAAAUGCGCAGAUAUCAGGAGGAACACCGGUGGCGAAGGCGGAUCUCUGGGCCAUUACUGACCGCUGAGGAGCGAAAGGGUGGGGAGCGAACAGGAUUAGAUACCCUGGUAGUCCACGCCCGUAAACGGUGGGAACUAGGGUGUUGGGUGACAUUCCACGGUCGUGGAGUGCCGCAGCUAACGCAUUAAGUUCCCCGCCUGGGGAGUACGGCCGCAAGGCUAAAACCUCAAAGGAAUUGACGGGGGCCCGCACAAGCAGCGGAGCAUGUGGCUUAAUUCGACGCAACGCGAAGAACCUUACCAAGACUUGACAUAUACCGGAAAGCAUCAGAGAUGAUGCCCCCCUUGUGGUCGGUAUACAGGUGGUGCAUGGCUGUCGUCAGCUCGUGUCGUGAGAUGUUGGGUUAAGUCCCGCAACGAGCGCAACCCUUGUUCUGUGUUGCCAGCAUGCCCUUCGGGGUGAUGGGGAGUCACAGGAGACUGCCGGGGUCAACUCGGAGGAAGGUGGGGAGGAAGUCAAGUCAUCAUGCCCCUUAUGUCUUGGGCUGCACACGUGCUACAAUGGCAGGUACAAUGAGAUGGGAGGCCGUAAGGGGGGGCGAAUCUCAAAAAGCCUGUCUCAGUUCGGAUUGGGGUUUGCAACUCGACCCCAUGAAGUCGGAGUUG
rnacentral:rRNA from 1 species